CAGCCGCCGCUGCGGCGGACUAACAACAGCCGUGUGAAUCGCCCAACGGAGAUCCGGUUGAGGAAACGCUAUCAUUUUAUAAUUCUACUGUUCAGGAAUUGGAAGAAUUUAAUUGUUAUGCAUUGAGUCCUUUGAAUUUCCAAAUUACCAAGUUCCGGUUUCAUUUAUGCCUUGUUGCUUUCGUUUUCAAUACUGGGAUAUCUUAUAUGCAUGCAACAUGUGUUAACGUGUCUGGUUCUGAUGCUCCGUCUACUCCAUGGGACCACUAGGUGGGAUUUAUUUCGUAACCAAGGUGGAUAACAGUAAUUCCUCUGUCUCACUUCUAUUUUCAGUGUUGAUGUAACUUGAAUCGCCCUUAAAAAAAUCAUGUCAGUAAAAAAUAUAAAGAAUUUUCAGUAUUUUUUAUUUUUAUCUUACAUCUAAUGUAAUGCUAUCAGUCACCUCGUACUAUUCCAUUGCGCAUCUUGUGUAACAUCAAGGAAAG